CGCGGACGAGCGUCCGGCUGCGCGCGCCGUGCCGAAGCGCCGUCGAGCGGCGUCGACAUCGCCGUCUGCGUCCGAUACGCAGUCCGCGCCCA
rnacentral:tRNA from 1 species